CGCACAGUACCGCAUGGUACAGUGUGAAAAGAACUAUCGGCAUACGAUGGACCCGCGUCUGAUUAGCUAGUUGGUGAGGUAACGGCCCACCAAGGCGACGAUCAGUAGCCGGCCUGAGAGGGUGAACGGCCACAUUGGGACUGAGACACGGCCCAAACUCCUACGGGAGGCAGCAGUGGGGAAUAUUGGACAAUGGGGGAAACCCUGAUCCAGCGACGCCGCGUGAGUGAAGAAGUAUUUCGGUAUGUAAAGCUCUAUCAGCAAGGAAGAAAAUGACGGUACUUGACUAAGAAGCUCCGGCUAAAUACGUGCCAGCAGCCGCGGUAAUACGUAUGGAGCAAGCGUUAUCCGGAUUUACUGGGUGUAAAGGGAGCGUAGACGGCAUAGCAAGUCUGAAGUGAAAUCCCAUGGCUUAACCAUGGAACUGCUUUGGAAACUGCCAGGCUAGAGUGCAGGAGAGGUAAGCGGAAUUCCUAGUGUAGCGGUGAAAUGCGUAGAUAUUAGGAGGAACACCAGUGGCGAAGGCGGCUUACUGGACUGUAACUGACGUUGAGGCUCGAAAGCGUGGGGAGCAAACAGG
rnacentral:rRNA from 1 species